rnacentral:rRNA from 1 species
UACCCGCGGCCCGAGUGGUGCUCAUUAUUAUUGAGUCUAAAACGUCCGUAGCCGGUCGGGUAGAUUCCUGGGUAAAUCCAACCGCUUAACGGUUGGAACUCCGGGGAGACCGCCCGACUUGGGACCGGGAGAGGCGCGAGGUACUCCUGGGGUAGGGGUAAAAUCCUGUAAUCCUGGGAGGACCACCAGUGGCGAAGGCGUCGCGCUAGAACGGAUCCGACGGUCAGGGACGAAGCCCAGGGGCG